rnacentral:rRNA from 1 species
CGCACGGCGCACGGGUGCGUAACACGUGGGCAAUCUGCCCUCCGAUGGGGAAUACCCCCGCGAAAGCGGGACUAAUUCCGCAUAACAUUCCUUGGAUUAACUUUCGAGGAUUCAAAGCAGCAAUGCGUCGGAGGAGGAGCCCGCGCCCGAUUAGCUAGUUGGUGAGGUAACGGCUCACCAAGGCAAUGAUCGGUAGCUGGUCUGAGAGGAUGGCCAGCCACACUGGAACUGAGACACGGUCCAGACUCCUACGGGAGGCAGCAGCGGGGAAUCUUGCACAAUGGGCGAAAGCCUGAUGCAGCGACGCCGCGUGGGGGAUGAAGCUUUUCGGAGUGUAAACCCCUUUCGACUGGGACGAAUGCCUCGCAAGAGGAGUGACGGUACCAGUAUAAGAAGCCCCGGCUAACUACGUGCCAGCAGCCGCGGUAAGACGUAGGGGGCCAGCGUUGUUCGGAAUUACUGGGUGUAAAGGGUUCGUAGGCGGUGUGGCAAGUCGGGAGUGAAAUCUCUGGGCUCAACCCAGAGACUGCUUCCGA